CCUACGGGUGGCAGCAGUGGGGAAUAUUGCACAAUGGGGGAAACCCUGAUGCAGCAACGCCGCGGGAGUGAAGAAGUAUUUCGGUAUGUAAAGCUCUAUCAGCAGGGAAGAAGAUGACGGUACCUGAAUAAGAAGCACCGGCUAACUACGUGCCAGCAGCCGCGGUAAUACGUAGGGGGCAAGCGUUAUCCGGAUUGACUUGGUGUAAAGGGAGCGUAGACGGCAGUGCAAGUCAGCUGUGAAAACUCUGGGCUCAACCCAUAUCCUGCAUUUGAAACUGUUCUUCUUGAGUGCUGGAGAGGCAAUCGGAAUUCCGUGUGUAGCGGUGAAAUGCUUAGAUAUUCGGAGGACCACCAGUGGCGAAGGCGGCUUGCUGGUCUGUAACUGACGCUGAGGCGCGAAAGCGUGGGGAGCAAACAGGAUUAGAUACCCUAGUAGUC
rnacentral:rRNA from 1 species